GAAAUUUCAUGACGGGAUUGAAAAAAAUUAUAAGUUAAAAAAAAAAACAAAACACCCUAAGGUAUAGUGAUUGUGGAGUGGAGUAACGGAAAACAAAACCAAAAAAAUAUUACACCUCUAAAAGUGAGGUGGCAAAAUUGUGGUGCGCAAAUUGAAACACAUGAUAUAUUCAAUAUAGGCAGUGAAACAAAAUUCAUACAAAAAGCAACCAGGAAAUCACAACAAAAAUAACAGCAGCAAAAGGACUGGGAGAAAGAAGCACAGGCACACGCACAUUCAGAUAAAUAUGUACACACCACAUAAACUCAUAUUAUCCCCAAAAGCUCCUGGCGGAAAUCAAAAUGAUCCAGUGAUGCUGUAGGCUGGUCACCGCACAAAAACUUCUUUUCGAGGUGCCUGCAGAGAUCGACUAUAAAUCCGUUAUUCCUCGCUAUUUUUCGGUAUAAAAUGGAACCUUGGAAUAUAAUAAAUUUGUUUCCUGCUCAAAUUGAAUGAAACAGUAAUAUACAAGGAAGCCACAUUUACAUACAGUGUAUAUUUCUCUGAAAUGGGGGGAGCUAUGGGGAAAAACGGGGUCAACUUUUUGGAUGCUCUACCUUCACAGGGUACAUUACACAUUGUUAUGCUUGGUCUUGAUUCAGCUGGGAAAACGACGGCUCUGUAUAGAUUGAAAUUCGAUCAAUAUUUAAAUACAGUACCUACAAUUGGAUUCAAUUGCGAAAAGGUUCCUUCUGCGUCGAUGCAGCGCUGCCAGCGUGAAUUCCAAGCAUUGAAGGCGUCACGGAAGGCAUUCUCCUUAGCCUUGAGAGCCGAGGUGCAUGUUGCUUGGAUCCCCUCUGUCGUCUCAAAAUGCUUGCCAUUCAUCGGCAUUUUCAGUUCGGGGCCACAUCUGGGCUGUAGGGCAACUGCGAAAGCAUUUAGAUGUCGGCCUUGUAGUGGUGAAACUUUCAAUCGGUUGCGAUGUCUUCUCGGACUCGAUUGACCCUUCAUUUGAGCCUCUUGAGAACUUCUACGUAAAACUUGGCGUUGACGGUUGGUACAGCAGGAACAAAUUCAUGGUGGACGAAGCCUUUAAUGUCAAAAAAGACAAUGAGUAUCGUUUUCACUUUGGAUUUGCUCACUCAUCAGCGACCUCUUCCAGGUCCUCCAUAGAGGCCUGGUGCCACCGAAACACACCAUUUCUUGCUAAAGAAAAAUCUGGAAUUUAGUCGCGUAACUCUGUUCAACGGAUGCUGCAUUUUCGGCUUGCACCACUCACAGAAACACGUCGCGGGAAAAUGUUUGUCCUGACUCUCCAGGUGCUCGGAGACAACUGUCAACCACUCGUUCGCCGUCUAAGAACGCCCUAUACCGAUUUCAGAAAAACUUUUAUUGUGGGAUAUUCAUAAGAGAUAGACAAAUACCAUCGCGGAAACCUUUUCAAUGUGUUCAACACAUAGUACAUUAUUUUGAUAAAUCUCGUAAUGCUCAGCCUGAGUUUGCAAUGUAAGCGGAAAAACAUUUAAUUAUUUACGACAUUACAUUAGAAACGCCAAAUAUAACAAUAUUUCUCCACUAUUUAAAGGAUGGUUACUAUGCAUAUAAACCUUUCUCUUCAAAUACUAUCUAUUAAAAUAAUCGCACCAAAAUCCGUUGCGUAGUUUGAAAGAUUUAAGCAUACAUAGUGAUAUAGGGAUGAUAUUGAUAUCAUCGGCCUCAACACCCACGCCGUUAGUUCUGCUUUCUCCAGACUGGACAAGGAAGCAAUGCAAAUGGGUCUGGCAGUGAACGAGGGCAAGACGAAAUAUCUCCUGUCAUCAAACAAACAGUCGACACACUCUCGACUUGGCUCUCAGGUCACUGUGGACAGUCAUAACUUUGAAGUCGUAAAUAAUUUCGUCUAUCUUGGCACCACCAAUAAUGUCAGGCUGGAAAUCCAACGCAGGAUAACUCUUGCCAACAGAGGCUACUUCGGACUGAGUAGGCAAUUCAGAAGCAAAGUCUUCUCUUGACGAACAAAAACCAAACUCUAUAAGUCACUCAUAAUUCCCGUCUUGCUAUAUGGUGCAGAGGCUUGGACGAUGACAAAAACUGAUGAGUCGACGUUGCGAGUUUUCGAGAGAAAAGUUCUGCGAAGGAUUUAUGGUCCUUUGCGUAUUGGCCACGGCGAAUAUCGCAUUCGAUGGAACGAUGAGCUGUACGAGAUAUACGACGACAUUGACAUAGUUCAGCGAAUUAAAAGACAGCGGCUACGCUGGCUAGGUCAUGUUGUCCGGAUGGAUGAAAACACUCCAGCUCUGAAAGUAUUCGACGCAGUACCCGCCGGGGGAAGCAGAGGAAGAAGAAGACCUCCACUCCGUUGGAAGGACCAACGCGUUGGCCACGGCGAAUAUCGCAUUCGAUGGAACGAUGAGCUGUACGAGAUAUUCGACGACAUUAACAUAUUUCAGCGAAUUAAAAGACAGCGGCUACGCUGGUUAGGUCAUGAUGUCCGGAUUUACGAAAACACUCCAGCUCUGAAAGUAUUCGACGCAGUACCCGCCGGGGGAAGCAGAGGAAGAGGAAGACCUCCACUCCGUUGGAAGGACCAAGUGGAGAAGGACCUGGCUUCGCCUGGAAUAUCCAAUUGGCGCCACGUAGCGAAAAGAAGAAACGACUGGCGCGCUGUUGUUAACUCGGCUAUAAUCGCGUAAGCGGUGCCAAUAUUAAAUUUUGUUUUAAAAUUGGUAAAACUUUUACCGAAACGUUUCAAUUGAUGAAACAAGUUUAUGGCGAAGAUUGCCUAUCCCGUAGCAGAGUGCGCGGUUUCAACGUUUUCAACGCUUUCAAAGUGGUCUUGAGGACAUAAGUGACGAUCAAUAUGUGGGCCAAUCAAAAUCCGUGAUCACCAGAAAUUCCAUUGAAACUGUGCGUGAAUUCAUCAAAAAUCAGCCGAAAUCAUCAUUGAAAUGCAUGGAAAUGGAAUUAGCGCACAAAUUGACUGACGACCAAAAAUUUCUCAGAAUCCAACAUUCGAAGGACGAUUAUUUGACCAAAUAUCACAUUUUAACCAUUCUCCCCGUAUUCACCUGAUAUGGCACCGUGCGACUUCUUACUUUUCCUCAAAAUGCAUUUGCUUAUGAAAGGAAAGCGUUAUGUAGACGUAGAGGCCAUUCAAAAAGCUUGCACCGGCAUACUGGCGGACAUACCGGCCAACGAGCUAAAACACUCGUUCGACAUGCUUUUAGACUGUGCAAAAAGCUGUAUUGAAGCAGAAGGAGACUAUUUUGAAUAAAAUAAAUUGAUUUUGCCGAAAAAAAACAUUUGUUCUGUUUUU